UGUGAGCUCGAUGAGUAGGGCGGGACACGUGGUAUCCUGUCUGAAUAUGGGGGGACCAUCCUCCAAGGCUAAAUACUCCUGACUGACCGAUAGUGAACCAGUACCGUGAGGGAAAGGCGAAAAGAACCCCGGCGAGGGGAGUGAAAAAGAACCUGAAACCGUGUACGUACAAGCAGUGGGAGCACGCUUAGGCGUGUGACUGCGUACCUUUUGUAUAAUGGGUCAGCGACUUAUAUUCUGUAGCAAGGUUAACCGAAUAGGGGAGCCGAAGGGAAACCGAGUCUUAACUGGGCGUUAAGUUGCAGGGUAUAGACCCGAAACCCGGUGAUCUAGCCAUGGGCAGGUUGAAGGUUGGGUAACACUAACUGGAGGACCGAACCGACUAAUGUUGAAAAAUUAGCGGAUGACUUGUGGCUGGGGGUGAAAGGCCAAUCAAACCGGGAGAUAGCUGGUUCUCCCCGAAAGCUAUUUAGGUAGCGCCUCGUGAAUUCAUCUCCGGGGGUAGAGCACUGUUUCGGCAAGGGGGUCAUCCCGACUUACCAACCCGAUGCAAACUGCGAAUACCGGAGAAUGUUAUCACGGGAGACACACGGCGGGUGCUAACGUCCGUCGUGAAGAGGGAAACAACCCAGACCGCCAGCUAAGGUCCCAAAGUCAUGGUUAAGUGGGAAACGAUGUGGGAAGGCCCAGACAGCCAGGAUGUUGGCUUAGAAGCAGCCAUCAUUUAAAGAAAGCGUAAUAGCUCACUGGUCGAGUCGGCCUGCGCGGAAGAUGUAACGGGGCUAAACCAUGCACCGAAGCUGCGGCAGCGACGCUUAUGCGUUGUUGGGUAGGGGAGCGUUCUGUAAGCCUGCGAAGGUGUGCUGUGAGGCAUGCUGGAGGUAUCAGAAGUGCGAAUGCUGACAUAAGUAACGAUAAAGCGGGUGAAAAGCCCGCUCGCCGGAAGACCAAGGGUUCCUGUCCAACGUUAAUCGGGGCAGGGUGAGUCGACCCCUAAGGCGAGGCCGAAAGGCGUAGUCGAUGGGAAACAGGUUAAUAUUCCUGUACUUGGUGUUACUGCGAAGGGGGGACGGAGAAGGCUAUGUUGGCCGGGCGACGGUUGUCCCGGUUUAAGCGUGUAGGCUGGUUUUCCAGGCAAAUCCGGAAAACUAAGGCUGAGGCGUGAUGACGAGGCACUACGGUGCUGAAGCAACAAAUGCCCUGCUUCCAGGAAAAGCCUCUAAGCAUCAGGUAACAUCAAAUCGUACCCCAAACCGACACAGGUGGUCAGGUAGAGAAUACCAAGGCGCUUGAGAGAACUCGGGUGAAGGAACUAGGCAAAAUGGUGCCGUAACUUCGGGAGAAGGCACGCUGAUAUGUAGGUGAAGCGACUUGCUCGUGGAGCUGAAAUCAGUCGAAGAUACCAGCUGGCUGCAACUGUUUAUUAAAAACACAGCACUGUGCAAACACGAAAGUGGACGUAUACGGUGUGACGCCUGCCCGGUGCCGGAAGGUUAAUUGAUGGGGUCAGCGCAAGCGAAGCUCUUGAUCGAAGCCCCGGUAAACGGCGGCCGUAACUAUAACGGUCCUAAGGUAGCGAAAUUCCUUGUCGGGUAAGUUCCGACCUGCACGAAUGGCGUAAUGAUGGCCAGGCUGUCUCCACCCGAGACUCAGUGAAAUUGAACUCGCUGUGAAGAUGCAGUGUACCCGCGGCAAGACGGAAAGACCCCGUGAACCUUUACUAUAGCUUGACACUGAACAUUGAGCCUUGAUGUGUAGGAUAGGUGGGAGGCUUUGAAGUGUGGACGCCAGUCUGCAUGGAGCCGACCUUGAAAUACCACCCUUUAAUGUUUGAUGUUCUAACGUUGACCCGUGAUCCGGGUUGCGGACAGUGUCUGGUGGGUAGUUUGACUGGGGCGGUCUCCUCCUAAAGAGUAACGGAGGAGCACGAAGGUUGGCUAAUCCUGGUCGGACAUCAGGAGGUUAGUGCAAUGGCAUAAGCCAGCUUGACUGCGAGCGUGACGGCGCGAGCAGGUGCGAAAGCAGGUCAUAGUGAUCCGGUGGUUCUGAAUGGAAGGGCCAUCGCUCAACGGAUAAAAGGUACUCCGGGGAUAACAGGCUGAUACCGCCCAAGAGUUCAUAUCGACGGCGGUGUUUGGCACCUCGAUGUCGGCUCAUCACAUCCUGGGGCUGAAGUAGGUCCCAAGGGUAUGGCUGUUCGCCAUUUAAAGUGGUACGCGAGCUGGGUUUAGAACGUCGUGAGACAGUUCGGUCCCUAUCUGCCGUGGGCGCUGGAGAACUGAGGGGGGCUGCUCCUAGUACGAGAGGACCGGAGUGGACGCAUCACUGGUGUUCGGGUUGUCAUGCCAAUGGCACUGCCCGGUAGCUAAAUGCGGAAGAGAUAAGUGCUGAAAGCAUCUAAGCACGAAACUUGCCCCGAGAUGAGUUCUCCCUGACUCCUUGAGAGUCCUGAAGGAACGUUGAAGACGACGACGUUGAUAGGCCGGGUGUGUAAGCGCAGCGAUGCGUUGAGCUAACCGGUACUAAUGAACCGUGAGGCUUAACCUUACAACGCCGAAG
rnacentral:rRNA from 1 species